UUCGCAAUGCCCGAAAGGGCGACGAAGCGACGCCGCGUGUGGGAAGAAGGCCUUCGGGUUGUAAACCACUGUCGGGAGUUAAGAAAUGUAAGGGUGUUAACAGCAUCCUUACUUGACUAAGGCUCCGGAGGAAGCCACGGCUAACUCUGUGCCAGCAGCCGCGGUAAUACAGAGGCGGCAAGCGUUGUUCGGAAUUAUUGGGCGUAAAGAGCACGUAGGCGGCCUUGCAAGUCAGUUGUGAAAUCCUUCUGCUUAACGGAAGAACAGCAGCUGAUACUACAGGGCUUGAGUGCGGGAGGGGAGAGUGGAACUUCUGGUGGAGCGGUGAAAUGCGCAGAUAUCAGAAGGAACGCCGGCGGCGAAAGCGGCUCUCUGGCCCGUAACUGACGCUGAGUGUGCGAAAGCUAGGGGAACAAACGGGAUUAGAUACCCCGGUAGUCCUAGCCGUAAACGAUGGGCACUAAGUAGAGGGGUUUU
rnacentral:rRNA from 1 species